UACAGAGGUCCCAAGCGUUGUUCGGAUUUACUGGGCGUAAAGGGUGCGUAGGUGGUGAGGUAAGUCUGAUGUGAAAUCUCCGAGCUUAACUCGGAAAUGGCAUUGGAAACUACCUUGCUAGAGGGUUGGAGGGGGGACUGGAAUACUUGGUGUAGCAGUGAAAUGCGUAGAUAUCAAGUGGAACACCAGUGGCGAAGGCGGCUCACUGGCCCGGUACUGACGCUGAGGUGCGAAAGCGUGGGGAGCAAACAGG
rnacentral:rRNA from 1 species